GUUUGAUUCAGCUCAGAUGAACGCUGGCGGCAGGCUUAACACAUGCAAGUCGAGCGGUAGCACAGGGGAGCUUGCUCCCUGGGUGACGAGCGGCGGACGGGUGAGUAAUGUCUGGGAAACUGCCUGAUGGAGGGGGAUAACUACUGGAAACGGUAGCUAAUACCGCAUAACGUCGCAAGACCAAAGAGGGGGACCUUCGGGCCUCUUGCCAUCAGAUGUGCCCAGAUGGGAUUAGCUAGUAGGUGGGGUAAUGGCUCACCUAGGCGACGAUCCCUAGCUGGUCUGAGAGGAUGACCAGCCACACUGGAACUGAGACACGGUCCAGACUCCUACGGGAGGCAGCAGUGGGGAAUAUUGCACAAUGGGCGCAAGCCUGAUGCAGCCAUGCCGCGUGUGUGAAGAAGGCCUUCGGGUUGUAAAGCACUUUCAGCGAGGAGGAAGGUGAUGAGCUUAAUACGCUCAUCAAUUGACGUACUCGCAGAAGAAGCACCGG
rnacentral:rRNA from 1 species